rnacentral:lncRNA from 1 species
UACAUUAACCGUAUCUGCAAUUUUUGAUUCAUUGAGUAUGGAUAAUCCUCAAUUUCGGGCAUUUGUCUCUGUUGAUGGAUUGGCUGAGAUGUUCGUUUUUGAGUGUUUGAGCAGAAGAUCUCCGUAGGAACGAUUCACAAUCAAUUUAGCCUCCUUUGGAUGUUGAGGAAAUUAAAGAUCUCCGUCGGAACGAUUCACAACCAAUUUAGCUUCCUUUGGAUGUUGAGGAAAUUAUCUAAUUUUACUCGUGGCCUUGGCAAAAUUAUUGUUAAAUAUAUUGGUGCCCAUAGUUUUGAGAUAUGGGGUACCUUGAACUUGUGUCUUGAGUGUUUGAGCAGAAGAUCUCCGUAGGAACGAUUCACAACCAAUUUAGCUUCCUUUGGAUGUUGAGGAAAUUAAAGAUCUCCGUCGGAACGAUUCACAACCAAUUUAGCUUCCUUUGGAUGUUGAGGAAAUUAUCUAAUUUUACUCGUGGCCUUGGCAAAAUUAUUGUUAAAUAUAUUGGUGCCCACAGUUUUGAGAUAUGGGGUACCUUGAACUUGUGUCCGAGUGGUUUAGUUAAGAAUGGAGGCCGGCGUUGGAAAGUGUUUCAACUUUCAAUUGUAUACGAUGGUUAAUUUCGUGAACACCUGCCUAGAUGGGAAGAAGUUGGGCUGGUACUGAAUGUGAUCAGAACAGCUGGGAGGCUGUUUUAGCACAACUUUAGCUGGCUUGUAGGUCUUUAGAUCUGCUCUGCUUAUUAUGUGCGAUUUUAGUACAUACGAUCAGCUGGGAGGCUGUUUUAGCACAACUUUAGCUGGCUUGUAGGUCUUUAGAUCUGCUCUGCUUAUUAUGUGUGAUUUUAGUACAUACGAUCAUUGAUGUUUUGUGACAGUAUGUAAAUUGCAGCUAUCAAUUAAAAUUCCAAUGAGAAAUUAAGUGUUUGGAAUUGUAAGAUCACGUGGAAAAAAUUGAUGAAGAAUUUCUUUCUUGCACUGUUCCUUUUGUCCUGAAGACUGGGACAAUAAACACAAGCAUUUCUAAGUAUGUAUCUGGUUAAUCUGAAGUUGCAAAGCCGGUGUUUGAAUCAAAUGGAAGUAGUAGUCGUGAAUCCUUCUCUUUGGACAUCUAUCUCAAUCUUCUGUUCAGUUUGUUAAUCACUCUGUUUCCUUUUUCUAUUUCGCGUUCAACUUUUGAUACUGGUAUCCGUUGAGGCUAUUGGUAUUUGUAGUUUUCACUUUUCCUUUAGUAGGCUGACUUAGGAUUGUGAGUUUCAACUUUCAAGUGCCUUCCAGGCCUUCUGGUUUGUUUUAUCUUCCAACCGAUCUAAUCUUGGUCUCCUGAAGGAGAUCAUCUAGUAUGUGUGGUGGUAGCUGUACUUGACUGAUGGUAAUGAUGUUGUACACUUUACCCAUUUCCGUAUGAGAGGUAGAUUGUUGGACCGUGGAAAAUAAGAUAUUGUGGCACGUCGCUUUUUAUUUGCAACUUCAGUUUUUGUGAAUUUUAGUAAAAUGUUAGGCAUGUGCAAUGAUGAGGCCUUUCAUUAACAAAGAUAAGCCUCAGGGCAAAAAGCUGAAUUAAAACAAAGGGAAAAGAAAGACCAGAGAGUAUGGACCACUUGGAUGUUUUGACCCAACGGAUAACAUUUUCCUUUCUAACUAUGAAAGAAUCUAACUAACUGUUAGGAAUGUAUAAAAUUCUUCUUCAGGGUAAGAUUCCCUUGUUGAAGUGGCAUGUGCAGAAUCUCAGACAGAGGUAGGGUUGUCUGUGAUGGACAACAAAUAAUUCAUCCCUGCAGUCCCACACUUUUCCCAAUAUUUUUCUCUCAGGACGGGUUUGAUUGUUGUCCAUUGCUUUUACGUUAGGUUGGACUAUCCUUCAUCAGUAUCUCUUUAAAUGGAGUUCUCCAAGAAUGAAGUCAUCAUGCAAUCAUUAUUAUCUACUGCUGGACGCUUUGGAGCUCCACAAUGCUUCACGAUAGUUCUAGUUUGGGUUCCUUUUGAACCUACUUGUGGAUUCUUGUAGAUCAACUUAUUUUGAUGAAUUCUCAUGGUGGAGUUUGCUGAUUGGAGCUCUCAGCCUUUGUUGGAAUUUGUUGUUGCUGGUUUCAAUUGGUGUUCAUGUGCGACAACACAACAUUGUCUGGGGUGUUUUGCCCAUUCGGAGGGGCAAGUAGACCUGCCUUUGUAGGUUUAGGAUUUUUCCCUUAAACUGUUUCCUGAAUGCAGGGCUUGUAGUUGUUAAAUUCAUCCAUAAGGCUCAAUGGGAGACGUAGUAAUUGAGCAUUCAGGGACGCCACGUUGUGAGGCCUUAAACUUGCAAAAUUUUACAACAUCUGAGAAUGAUGCUGAUCUGGUUCAGAGUUUCCAUGGGGGCUACUUGCCUGAGGAUGGUACAUGUGUAGAAAAAUCCACUUCUACUGAAGCCCUUGACAGAGGAUACUUGGAAUAUGGGUAUGUUCUCUGACUCUUUCAUGAUGGUAAACUUAUGUCUAUUUUGUACAAUCAUUCUUGGUUGAUCUUUGAUCACGUAUUCUGUUGUAAUACUGAAGGUGUAGAUACAUAUCAUAAUAUAUGUUUGCUACACCUCAUACAUAGUGGAUGUUAUGAUCAUCAAUUAAUCUCUGAUGUGUUUUUUUCCCCAGCUGUUCACACUAUCGGCGUAGAUGUCGCAUUAGAGCCCCAUGCUGCAAUGAGAUAUUUGACUGCAGGCAUUGUCAUAAUGAAGCUAAGGUAAGACCUGAGGUAAAUACAUUAUCUCAUCACAAAAAAAUAAAAAGGAAGGAUGAGGGGGUAAGAGCUGAUAAAUGAUGGGAGUCAUAAUUUGGGCAAUAGACAAGCUAAUUGGUGAUGGAAGCUUACACUUACGAAUAAGUAUAAUAUGUCUUGUCUGUGGCUAAAGAGGUGCAUAAUAUGCUACAUAAGUAAGAUUCCAGUUAAUAAGAUGCCUGCAUCCAGUGGUAUAUGCAAAAUUGUUUGAAUGUGUGCAAUUCUUUUCUUUAACCUUUUGAUUGCAAGGCACCUUGGUUUACACCUCAUAGAAUCCAUUGCAGGCGGCUACGGGUCAUUUAGAUUUUACCUUAUCAGCAAAGAUUCUAAUUUUGUUCGCAAUGAUUACUCAUCUUCCAUGCUUGGCUGUUAAAAACUUUACUGCCAUAUUUGCUUGUCUACAGAACAAUAUCAGCCUUGAUCAGAAACUACGACAUGAGAUUCCUCGUCACAAGGUGGAAAGGGUAAUGCUCCUGACUGGGACUGUUGUACUACUUUGCAGAUAACUUUUCCCUAUAUAGGGUUCUCUUCCAUUCCCUCAUUUUCAUCAGCUAGCUUCACCUUCUCUUCACUUAAUUUUGUAUGGAAUCUGAACAUGAUGCAUCUGAACAUGAUGCGUAAGAAAAUAUAUAUUCUCAUUCGUUGUGGUUCUUUGCAGGUUAUAUGCGCACUUUGUGAUACUGAACAAGAGGUGAGUGGUGGUUAUGUCAUUCCUUCUUUACACACUUUUAUAUGGUCAUGAUCUAAAGUAUUUUUGCAAUUGAGCAACACAAGACUCUUGCUUGAGCAUGUUACACUUCAUUGGGCAAGAACUGAGUUCUCUUGGUUUUGAAGUUUUCUAUUCUAGCUAUAAGCAGUUUGCGUUCUGACCAGUUAUCACUCCUCUACCAGGUUCGUCAAGUUUGUAUUAAUUGCGGCGUGUGCAUGGGGAGAUAUUUCUGUGAAACCUGUAAGCUAUUUGAUGAUGAUGUAAGUUGAAACUCUAUUCACUUUAGUUUUUCACGUGAGGAUGGUUGAUACAUACAUUGAAUUCAAGGAGUGGAUAGUAACAGGAAAUGCAGCUGUAAGUAAAAUAUUUAAUGUGCUGACCAACCUCUGCCCAUUUUUCAUGUUGCAGAUAUCCAAGAGACAGUAUCACUGCAAUGGUUGUGGCAUUUGCAGGUAUUGUUACUUUGCUGAAAUUCCACUGCCUUCCCCAUUCUGCUUAUCCUUUUGUCUUCCUUCCUCUUUCUCUUUGUCUGUCAUUUCUGUUGAGGCUCUGGUAGAGAGAGAAAGCAACUUAAGAAAAGGAAAUGACACCUUAACACCUUUGCUAACAGCAUCCACUUGCAAUAAGCAUUCAGUUCCAAUUCAUCUGAACAUUCAUUCUUGCCCUGUAUGUUUGAUGUCUAAGCUCUGCAUGAAUUUUGAUGUUGGUGUUUUAUUUUGAUUAUUUUCUUAUUUCUAGGAUUGGUGGAGCGGAGAACUUCUUCCACUGUUCCAAAUGCAGUAAGUCUCAGUCGUCCCUUUGUUUAUCAUAUACUCCCAUCCUAUGCAUGCCGUACACUCCAUUCGGUUUAGGAAUUUCUUCUCUCUUACUGGCUGAUGGUUGUGGGGUACAGGAUGUUGUUAUUCAGUUCUCUUGAAGAAUGGUCACCCCUGUGUUGAGGGGGCAAUGCAUCAUGACUGUCCUGUUUGUUUUGAGGUAUGCAUUGCGCAUAAAACUUCUCUUCAGUUUCUUUUACCCUCAUUUAAACCUUUACUGUGAUCAGCAUUUUGUUCCAACCGAAUGAAUUGAGAAUGGUGGUUAUAUGCAGUAUCUCUUUGAGUCAGUAAAUGAUGUAACAGUCCUGCCCUGUGGACACACUAUUCACAAGAACUGCUUGAAGGAGAUGCAGGAACACUACCAGUAAGUUAGUGCUAUUUUUAAUUGUUCUUUAGUUUCCACAUGUGAGGGUUGCCCAUACGACUGAACUGAGCUUUAUCUUUGCAACAGAUAUGCUUGUCCACUCUGCUCUAAGUCGGUAUGUGAUAUGUCAAAGGUGUGGGAGAAAUUUGACCUGGAGAUUGCCUCAACACCGAUGCCCGAAUCCUAUCAAGACAAGAAGGUGAGUACAUUUUCUGAACUGCUCUUAGUGCUGCGUCAAUGUGCCGUACGAGCGUUAAAAAGUAACUGAAAUUUGUGAUAAUUGCAGGUUUGGAUCCUUUGUAAUGAUUGUGGAAUUACCUCAGAAGUGCAAUUUCACUUUGUGGCCCAGAAGUGUUCAUGUUGCAGAUCUUACAACACCCGCCAAACAAGAGGCAGAUAGAGGGAUCAAAUAUCAAAAGUCGGUCUGGCUUUUAUGUGAAAAUGAUCCCACAGCCGAAGUGGGUGGAGUGGUAAUUCAGAGUGGGAAGACAUUGAGCUUUUUAAAGCUAAGCUUGCAGAAGAAACACUGGAAGGAGAAAGGGUUCUAAUACGAUCUUGCUUGUAGCUCUUGUGGGGUUAUUGUGUGUUCGCGUUCUUCAUUUUAUUCACACUGUUGUAUGUGUGGCUAGCCUAGGUGUUUUGGCUCAGUGUUUUGUUGGCAUGUCUGAUGUCUGUAGCUUGCUUGUAAAAAUGUUGCAAGUCCGGUGGCUGAGAGAGACUUGAUGAGUUGUGUGAUAUUGUAAUGUUAAGGGUCAUUCUUAAUAAUAGUGUCAUUCUUAAUAAUAGUAUCAUUCUUAAUAAUAGCCAUCUAAGGCAUAGAUGGGGUUGGCUUUCAUAUCUUGGUUCUUCAACUUCUCUUUCGCUGGAUUUAACACUCCUUGGUCCCUACUUUCUUUAAAAGUAGUUUGUUUUUGUUUCUCCAGCUGUUUGGUAUAGCUAUAGGCCAAGUAAUGCAAACGUACUUUUUCUUUUUGUUUCUCCAGCUGUUUGGUAUAGCUAUAGGCCAAGUAAUGCAAACGUACUUUUUCACCUUACUCUUCGUUUGUUAAAACCUAUUUUGGCUUGUAUCCGUCUCGGAAAGGGGCAUCCUUGAUUUAUCAGCAGAGAAGAGUGCAAAAAUUCUCAUGAACUUUCCCCUAUAGCUCACUUGAUAAAUGCAUCGCUAUCACAAACUCUAGUCACUUACUAUCCGUACGCUGGAAAAUUAACAGACAAUCCUAGUGUUGAUUGUAACAAUAUGGGUUAGUGGGUAUUGGGUGAAAUAUGGAUCAUAAAAAAUAAAAUAAAAAUCAAAAGGAAAAAGUUUCUUCCGUUUAGUUUUUAAACUUUUUCCGGACUUCCAGUUAGUUUGGAAUAACUUUGCACAGGUUAAUGACAUUGUUGUCCCAAAAAAAAUUCCAAAUGACUUUAGUGGGAUAUUUGUAAUAGUUGAAUGAUAAUUUGAGUUUUGCUCUAGGUAUUUGCAUUAAAACGAAAUACCUUAACAAAACAUUUGAAGCUACUCCAGAGUAAAAAUUAUGAAGGGCACCUCGUCUAAAUUACCCCAUGUAUUCUUAGAUAGCAAGAUAUUAAAAGAGGGAGAAAAACGGUAGUGCCUUUCAAUUUUCUAACGUGCUGUACAUUCUUUCUUCAUGUUUUUGGACUAAAGUGACAGAUGAAAAGAACACUUGACUGACGAGAGGAGCGACCCUUAUCUGCGCUUACUUUCACCCAACCCAAGUUACUUAAAUUGGUAACAUCACAAAAAGGUAAAAGGGAAAAGGAAACAUAGACAAGAUGCAGCAAGAAGAAACCAGGUAUAAAGGGGCCUGGUGACUUACUUCACAUACACUACAGUAUAGCACAUGGCCUCAACAUUCUCUCAAUCUCCCAAACAGUGUUCUCAUGGUAACAAUAUUAAACCCAAAGGGGCCUCUCAAAAGUGAGGGUGUUUCGAGUAGUUAAGAGUACUGGAACACGUGUGUGCUUAUGGCUAUAUAGUGUCAGUGUUGUUUGCAAGUCACAUCAGCGCAGACGCAACAUUGUGUCAUGGUAGUGUUAGCUAUGGGAGACUUUGAGCAAUGCAUCUAUGUGAAAGAUCGACAUCUGAUCAUGUAACAGGAGAACAUACCAUGUCCUGAACAGAAGCACAACUGGGGUAGUUCAACCUAAAGAAAAGGAAUGGAUCUACAAAGCACUACAAUUUUAACUAUGCCUCAAACCCAAACAAGUCAAGAUCUACUCCAUGAAUCUUCACUAUUGACAUUGCUCCAUUUAAGCUCAUCUUAAAUAGAAAAGAAAACUAAAAGGUAUUACAAACGUACUUUUUCUUUUUGUUUCUCCAGCUGUUUGGUAUAGCUAUAGGCCAAGUAAUGCAAACGUACUUUUUCACCUUACUCUUCGUUUGUUAAAACCUAUUUUGGCUUGUAUCCGUCUCGGAAAGGGGCAUCCUUGAUUUAUCAGCAGAGAAGAGUGCAAAAAUUCUCAUGAACUUUCCCCUAUAGCUCACUUGAUAAAUGCAUCGCUAUCACAAACUCUAGUCACUUACUAUCCGUACGCUGGAAAAUUAACAGACAAUCCUAGUGUUGAUUGUAACAAUAUGGGUUAGUGGGUAUUGGGUGAAAUAUGGAUCAUAAAAAAUAAAAUAAAAAUCAAAAGGAAAAAGUUUCUUCCGUUUAGUUUUUAAACUUUUUCCGGACUUCCAGUUAGUUUGGAAUAACUUUGCACAGGUUAAUGACAUUGUUGUCCCAAAAAAAAUUCCAAAUGACUUUAGUGGGAUAUUUGUAAUAGUUGAAUGAUAAUUUGAGUUUUGCUCUAGGUAUUUGCAUUAAAACGAAAUACCUUAACAAAACAUUUGAAGCUACUCCAGAGUAAAAAUUAUGAAGGGCACCUCGUCUAAAUUACCCCAUGUAUUCUUAGAUAGCAAGAUAUUAAAAGAGGGAGAAAAACGGUAGUGCCUUUCAAUUUUCUAACGUGCUGUACAUUCUUUCUUCAUGUUUUUGGACUAAAGUGACAGAUGAAAAGAACACUUGACUGACGAGAGGAGCGACCCUUAUCUGCGCUUACUUUCACCCAACCCAAGUUACUUAAAUUGGUAACAUCACAAAAAGGUAAAAGGGAAAAGGAAACAUAGACAAGAUGCAGCAAGAAGAAACCAGGUAUAAAGGGGCCUGGUGACUUACUUCACAUACACUACAGUAUAGCACAUGGCCUCAACAUUCUCUCAAUCUCCCAAACAGUGUUCUCAUGGUAACAAUAUUAAACCCAAAGGGGCCUCUCAAAAGUGAGGGUGUUUCGAGUAGUUAAGAGUACUGGAACACGUGUGUGCUUAUGGCUAUAUAGUGUCAGUGUUGUUUGCAAGUCACAUCAGCGCAGACGCAACAUUGUGUCAUGGUAGUGUUAGCUAUGGGAGACUUUGAGCAAUGCAUCUAUGUGAAAGAUCGACAUCUGAUCAUGUAACAGGAGAACAUACCAUGUCCUGAACAGAAGCACAACUGGGGUAGUUCAACCUAAAGAAAAGGAAUGGAUCUACAAAGCACUACAAUUUUAACUAUGCCUCAAACCCAAACAAGUCAAGAUCUACUCCAUGAAUCUUCACUAUUGACAUUGCUCCAUUUAAGCUCAUCUUAAAUAGAAAAGAAAACUAAAAGGUAUUAGAAGUUCUGUAUUUUCUACUGGUGAAUCUUUACAAAACAACAAGAUUCCUAGAAACCAUAGGGUCUAGAUUCAAGAAAAAGAUGGGCAUUUGAGGAUCAAAGAAAUGAGCUAGGAUGAAGCAAUUAGUUGAGUUUGAAGAACAAUAAAAGCAGAAACCUCAAGAAUCUAUGCUAUCUUCACCUGACUUUAAAGACCAAAUCAACAUUUACUAGCAUAGGCGAAGCCUGAAUCACAAUCAAGAAAGCUUGUGACCAACACAUUUUACAUAAGCAGACAGCCACAUUCUGAUAGCAGCAAGAAAUGAGAACACAUGUAAUGCAUAUUGUGAUACUGGGAUAAGUUGCUGGUCAUAUACACCAUAGUUACAAAAUAUUUUUAUUCAUCCCAACACCGGUGUCUUGGUCUACACCUGUAGAAGUCAUGAAACAUUUAUAUUCAUCAACUUCGCCAGGUAAUAUUAGCAGGUGAGAAACCAAAAAUGGGGGAGCCACUAGGAUGCGCUACAACCCUUUUACUUUAGUUUUUUUUUUUUUUUGAGAUUAUUCUCCGCUAUUACAUAUCAAAUUCAGAACUAUGUAAAGCAAAUUUUGCUGUUUGUGACCAUUAACCACUAAGACCAUGAGAAAGGAAAGACAGUUCACACAAGUAGCAAUACAUGCUCUGAUCAUCCAUGGCUGCACAAAGAUGCACAAAAACAGCUCUUAGGAAACAGAUGACCAGGUGUCUCGUUGUUAACCAGUAUGGUGGUUUCGUCAAUCAUGGGCUUAGUAGCUACAGCAGUGCAAUUCCGGCAUCCUAUGUAGCAAUGAACAAGCCGGUGUCCAAAACUUCAUCACUGCUGUUUGGCUCAAUAGUGCUUUCAGAACCAUUAUUGACUUUCUCCAUUUCCUCAUCAAUUAAAAUCUCCUCGGAACGACAAUCCAAGCUGCAAAAAGCUUUCUCACCUCUGCAAAACAUAAUACGAGUUUUUAAUAUUAAAAUCAUCGAAGUCGUUAAACUAGUUAUUAAUGCAGUGAAUCUUAACAGACCUGUACAUGUAAAUAUCCUCUCCAUCGAGCUUCUUCUUGCAAGAGUAACAGAAGCGCAAAAAAUCACUUGAAGGAAAUGAAGUGACGACCUCUGAGCUCUCCGCCGCCUCAGGCAACGCAGUUUUCUCAUUCUCAUUAGCAUUCUUACAAAAAUUGGGCAACUCACUGUUGUGACAUUCUAAAAUGCAGUCACAAAAAAUAUGAGUUACUUUGGCGUUGGGUCCACGGGUUCUCACACAGGUAUAAUCCUCAGAAAGUUCAAUAUCACUUGCCGAAAUAGAACCAACUAAGCUAGUGUUAGAGCCAACAGAUGUUGGUAUAUCACUCAAUUUAGCACCACCUGCUGGAUUGCCCAAUUUUGAGCAACCUCUAACACAUUUAGUACGUGAAACCACCGAACUUAUUCCAUUUUCAAAACCAAAAGUUGCAGUACGGUUCGCCAAGCUUGGGAAACGUGAACUACACCUUCCAGAGUCAAGAGAACAAGAACGAAAAUUUCUCGACAACUCAUGAUCCGACAGGGCUUCUCCAAUUCCAAACACAACAUCAGAAUUACCCUUUUCAAGAUUCGAGCUUUUAGCCAAAGUAUGAGGAUAAACCGAUAUAUCCUUAGGGAGUGACUUAGGUUCCUCAAGAGAACCAACAACACAGCUUUUAAAAUCAUGUGUUUUGUUCCUCAUUUGUGUACCAAAAAUAAUAGUUUUACUGUCUGAUGAUCGAAGAACUUUCCCAGAUUGUUUCAUUUCAUCAUCAAGAGAAUCUACAAUGCCAAGGCCUACUUUAGUAGUACAACCCCAAGUUUUGUUAACCCCCUCACUCCUUAAGGGGUUGCCUAAAUUUGAAAAGACUCUAAAAUCCAGUGGAGAAGUAGGACUUCUCACUGAAUCAGAUUCUGAACCCUUGGGAUUAAGCCCAACAAACACACCAGGAACAUUGAAAAAGGAACAAUUUUUAUGUUUCCUAACCAAAACAUCAGAUUGAAAAUAGGAAUCUGAGAUACCAUCAGAUGUCAAAUGCCCCAUGUGUUGAACUUUCUGGUGUGAUCUGGACCUCUUCCUCAACAUUAUCCUUAAACCCUCAGCCCCUAAAGAUCCACCAACACCUGCAUCAAGAUUAGAUAUUUUUUCUUAAUAAAAAAACAAUUUAAAAAUCAAGAAUGUAAAAUUUAUAUAUCUAAAAAGAAAAGAAACAACCCCAACUGAGAAAAUCCAUCAUACAUCUAAAGAACAUCUACAUUAAAGCUCGCAUUAUCAAGAAUCCACAAGACCCAAAAUAAAUUAUUAAAGAGAUUUUUUUUUCCAGAGAAAAUAAAUAGUCAGAAAUAAGAAAAAUGAGUCAAAAUCAAAGAACACCAAAGAGUCAACAGGAGAAAGACCUCAAAAUGUAGAUUAGGGCCAGAAUAAAAGUUAUUUUUUUUUUUAAAAAAAAAAGGAGAAAAAAUUAUAAAAACAUUUGAACUACAAUAAAUAAAUAUCCAAAAGCAAGAAAUAAAAAUCAACAUUGACAUCUCUAAUCAACUACAAAACAAGAAAAAUGAUUGAAUCCACAUAAACCCCAUUUCAGGAUUCAAAAUCUUUGGGUCAUGCAAAGCACAAAAAUCAUCAAAAAUGAAAGUGGGGUUUUAUUUUUCUUGAUGGGUUUUCAUUUUUGUUUUAAAAAAAAAUCCUUUUUUUCUUUCAAGGGGAUACACACAUAAGAGGGAAAACCACCUGGUAGAUUAGUUUCCAGAAGCUUCAAAAAUGGAGAGAAGAAAGAAAGAAAGAAGAACUAUAAAUGCAAAGAGCUCUCUCCCUUUCUCUCACAGUUGUGUGUGUGUGUGUGUUGGCUUCUUCAGUACAUCUUUUUCUCUCUCCUUUUUUCUCUUUCUGUUUCUCUCACAUUGCAUCAAAAUCAGCAACAGAGAGAGCUUCUCAAAUACUCUUCCAUUUUCUCUUUCUGUGUAGAAAAAUGUUUUGGAAAUACAGAAUACAACACAAAUGCCUGUAUAAAUACAGUGGAUGUAGUGUGAAUGGAUAUAUGUACUAGUGUGAAAUGUAUUCCCUACAUUUUUCCAGCCAAAUUCAUUGUUUUCAUUAUUUUGGGGGAUAGCAAAAUAUUUUUUUAAUUAAAAAAUAUCUCAAAUUAAUUGUAGUUUUUAAUUAUUUUCAAGAUAUUUAUGAUUAUUUUGGUUAAAAAUAAGCUAUUUAAAGAUCAUAAUAAUCAAAAUAUGUCAAAUUAAUUAUUUUUUUUGACUAAUAUCAAGAUAUUUAUGAUUUUUUUAGCUGAAAUAAAUUAUCUGAAGAUUAUAAUAAUUGAAAUAUUUGUAAAGAAUAUGUCAAAUUAAUUAUAGUCUUUGGUUAAAUAUCAGAAUAUUUAUGAUUCAUUUGGUUGGAAAUAGUUAUUCGGAGAUAGUAAUGAUCGGAAUGCUUAAGAAGAACAUAUAAAAUUAAUUGUAAUAUUUUAGUUAAUAUGAAUACGUUUAUAAUUAGUUUGGUUGGAAACAAGUUAUCUAAAGAUCAUAAUGAUAGCAUUAUAAUAUAUAAUUAAAUAAUGAUGAAUUAAAUUAAGUAAAAAUAAUAUAAUGUAAAUAUGUAGUAUUUUUAUUGUUUGACCUCUACAAGUAAGAGAACUUUUUACACAAAUGUUUAUAAAACUAGAGGUGUGUGGCUCGUGUUAUCACGAGUCCAACGUAAAAAAAUGUAUUAAGUAUAUUUAUUUUCUAUUACAUAAAAACAGGUGAUUUCGACCCCUUAUAUAAUUAUAAAAAAAAAUUCAUCUACUUUCACUUAAUUACAUACCAUGCUUCAAUAUAUAAUGAUUCCAUUAUUUCAUCAUAGUGGUUUAAAUAUUUAAUAUCUAUUAAUUUAUAUUAAUUAACUAUAACUACAUAUUGAAAGUAAUUUUUUUUAUUUAUUUAAUUGGAUAUCAUGUUCAAAACUAAUUUGUUACCACAAAUUACAAUAAUUAAUAAUUUAAAAUAUUUAAAAGACAUAAAAAUUUAAUUGACUUUCAUUAUUUUAACAAUGCCACAUAAAUUGAGAUAAAAGAAAAAAUACUGCAAAUCAUAAUAAUUAACAACCUAAAAUAUUUAAAAGAUAUAUAAAAAUUUUAGUUGACUUUGAAAACUGUAUCGAAGCCACAUAAAUUGAGACACAAGGAGUAAAUAUAUUAUUUGAUAAUUAUGUAAAAAUUAUUAUAAAUUACAAUAAUUAACAAGUUAAAAUACUUUUUUAAAAAUAGAUAAAAGUUUUAUUCAACNNNNNNNNNNNNNNNNNNNNNNNNNNNNNNNNNNNNNNNNNNNUUUUUUCUUAUAUAGAAAUACUAAUAUUUAAACUUAACUUUAAAUUUUUAAAGAAUAAAAUUAAUAAAUUUAAUUUAAUAAAAUAAUUUUCUAAUGAAUAUUUUCUUAGAAUUUGUGUUGGGUCAAUAUGUAUCAAGUUAAAAAGAAAUAAAUAAAAAUAUAUAGUAAAAUUUUAUUAUUGUGAAAGAUAAAUAUAAUGCACUAUCCAAUAAUGUUUAAUAAUAUCAUAUUUUGCAUAUGCAAAAUAUAUCAUCCCGUAUUUAAUUAAUAUACUACUCCGGUGAGUUAUCGAUGAUUAUUAUUUGAUAUGAUAAAAUUGUAUUAAUUUUUAUAGUAAUAACAUAAUCAAUCGCCCUUAAUUAAUUAUUAUGAGUCAUCUAGGUAUUAAGAAAAUAAAUAAUAUUUAAUAAAAAUUAAAAUAGAUAUAAAAUGCGAAAUUAACUCUUGACGUUUUAAAUUACAUUGUCGUCUUUCAAACAAUGAUUUUACUAUAUCACCACUUAUUAUAAGUCAUUUAUGUAUUAGAAAAUUAAGAAUAGCAAAAUGAUAUGUCAACAUAAAAUAUUUGAUUGACUAUCAAAGUUUAUUAGUGCCACAUAAAUUGGGACAAAAGAAGAUAUAAAACAACAUAUAUUAUUUGAAAAUGAAAUAAAAAGUACUGUAAAUAGCAAUAAUUAACAAUAAAAUUUUUAAAAGCUGACUGAUUUCUGCUUCAGCCGCUUCAAUCGUGAUUUUAAUAUAUCAUCCGUAAUUAAUUAUUAUAAGUCACUUAUGUAUUAGAAAAUUAAUAACAUUGAAUCCAUGAUUUCCCUAUAUCACCUAUAAUUAAUUAUUAUAAGUUAUUUAUGUAUUAAAAAUAAAUAAUCUUUAAUUAAAAAAUAUAAAAUAAAUAUUUAUGACAUGUCUGAUUAAGUUGCUUCAAUCGUGAUUUUAUUAUAUCACUCCUAAUUAAUUAUUAUAAGUCAUUUAUAUAUUAAAAAUUAAUAAUAUUUAAUAAAAAAAAGUAAAAUAGAAGUUUAUGACAUGUCUGCUUCAACCAUAGUUUUACUAAAUAUCACCCCUAAUUAAUUAUUAUAAGUCAUUUAAGUAUUAAAAAAUUAAUAAUAUUUAAUAAAUAAAAGUAAAAUAGACAUUUAUGACAUGUCUGCUUCAACCAUAGUUUUACUAAAUAUCACCCCUAAUUAAUUAUUAUAANNNNNNNNNNNNNNNNNNNNNNNNNNNNNNNNNNNNNNNNNNNNNNNNNNNNNNNNNNNNNNNNNNNNNNNNNNNNNNNNNNNNNNNNNNNNNNNNNNNNNNNNNNNNNNNNNNNNNNNNNNNNNNNNNNNNNNNNNNNNNNNNNNNNNNNNNNNNNNNNNNNNNNNNNNNNNNNNNNNNNNNNNNNNNNNNNNNNNNNNNNNNNNNNNNNNNNNNNNNNNNNNNNNNNNNNNNNNNNNNNNNNNNNNNNNNNNAAAUUACAUGAAAAAUACUAGAAAUCACAAUAAUUAACAACUUAAAAAAUUUAAAAGAUAUAAAAUAUUUGGUCGACUCUUGAAAUUAUAUUUGUGUCACUGAAAUUGGAAUAGAAGAAAAGUAUUAUAAAUCACAAUAAUUUAAAACUUAAAUUAUUUUUAAAAUAUAAUUGACUAUCAAUGCCACCAAAAUUUGGACAAGAAAAGUAAUGUAUAUUAAUUUCAAAAUUACAUAAAAAAUAUUAUAAAUUACAAUAGUUAACAACUUAAAUUAUCUAAAUACAUAUUAAAAUAACUUAUGUUAAACCCAUGCUAGAUUCCGGAUGAAUCCUAGAAAACAUAUGCAAUUCUUUUAUUAAAAUUUUUUAUUUAAAUAUAUCAAGAUUGAAAAGAUAAAUAAAUAUCUUAAUGUUGGGCCCGUGCUGACACGGGCCACGCUCCUCUAAUACAUAUAUAGAGAUAUACACACAUAUUAUAUACAUAUAUUAGCAAAACGUCAAGGAGCAAAGUGUUACAAAAUGAUUAGGUACAUUUUAUUUACAUAAGAUUGACAUUUAAUGCAUCCUCAAAUUUAGCUCCACAAACAUAAGACUGAAUCUGUUACAUAAAUGGAUAAUGUAAAAUUAAUGUUAGACAGGGUGUAUUAAACUGAAAAAAUAAUUACUAAUUGGUGUGGAUAGAAACUUCACAAUAACAUCAAAAUCUAAGAAUGAUAAAGAAUUCACAAAGCUUUUUAUGCAUUCAAAUGGACAACUCUUCCCAUUCAACCAAUCAUAUUAGUACUACUAAACAUUGUUGGUAUCUUCAAUGCGCUAUAUGGAAAUAAAAAGAACAAAAUACCUACUUGUGUUUUCUUUUAAAUAGAUUUACAGUAAACUGGAAUAAAAUAACAACAACAUAGCCAACACAAUCUUAAAAGUGAAGUAUGGGAAGAAAUCAUACCACGUGAUGACUGUAAAACACCAAUUACAUGAAAAAGUGAUCUAAUUACAAGAUAAAUUGCAUUGUGAAGCCACGAUAAGGGUUGAGUUGAUUAGUCCAAAGAGGUAGUACAAGUAUUAUCAUAGUCCUUUUAUGUACAUUGUAUCAAUACGUUGUUAUAUCAGCUACAACUACUUACAGGUUUGAAACUCAAAGUCCAACAUAAAAAAGCACGAGAACACAGUAGUUAUGAGUUAUGCAUUAUGGAACACCGGAAGAAUAGAUAAAGUUACAGAGAUAGCAUCCAACUACUGCAUGACUGAAAUUGAUCCAACAAAUUUUUAGAUUAAUUUUAGUAGAAAUUAAAUAAAAAAUAUUUAAUUAUGAAUGUCAAAACAGUCAACAGUUAUUUAUUCUCAAUAUUAACACUAAUUUUAUUAUUGAUAACCGUGAUGUUUGGACGAACUUUCAAUAUUAACACUAACUUCAACCAAAUUAAUUUUGACUUUUAUCCAACACUUAAAUUCAAUAAAUAAACUGAAUUACAUUAAAUUAUACUCCCCGCUAACAUACUAUUCUAACCAACUAAUCAAAAAAAUGACGAACAAAAAACAGGAAUGAUAUGUACUAUUGAAAAUUUGGUUUGCUUUCCUUCUAAUUGUCAGUCAAUCUUUUUCUUGAUUAGAAUUUGUCAGAUUGAGAUUUAAUUUGUUAGAUAAAAAUAAUAAGUGAAAACAAACCUGCACACAAAAGAAUAGAAAGAGUAGUCUUCUUCUAUAUACAAAAGGCAUACAUUACGUGUUAGAUAUAUUCUAUAGGAUGUAGCAAAAAAUGGCUUCAAUUUUGUGAUCUUUGAAUGCAAAAGCUUCUUGAGUCCUAUUUAGCAUUGUCUUGAGAGACUACAGUUUUCAUAACCUGCUCAUUUCACUCUUCACUUCAGAGGCUUCAUUUGACUUAAUCCCCUCUUAUUUAUUUUUUUUCAAAAUUUAUUGGAUAUCUGGAUUGCACUUUCUUUCAUUUAUUUUUUCUCCCUUUCCUUCGUAUUCAUCUUCAUGUAUCUCUAGUUUUUAUAGUUCCCCAAUAUUUAUUUAUUUUUUGAUCAUUUUCUUCAGUAUUACCACUACCAUCUUUAUUUUUUUUUAUUUUUUUAUUUUAAAUAUAAACUUGUUAGCUGGAUCACUGAAUAUAAAUGAAUGACACAGACAAUUAGUUUACAAUAAUCUGAUUAAAUGAAUGAUACUCAAAAUAUUCAGUCAUUAUUUGAAAUUUGUAUAUUCAGAGUGCUAGGCAUUCAAGUUCAAAUAGAACUUAUUAAAAAGGUACAUGUGAAAAUUUUUUGAGGAAACACCAGUGAUAUUAUGUUCACAAACAAAUAUUAUUUACCUUUUCACAACAAAUAUUAUAGACUUUAUCUGAAGCGGGAUGCACAUUAUUUCGACAACUUCAUCAGCUAUAAGUGUCAUUACAGAUUCACUGUCGUCUGUCAUAGUAACUUCAAAUUAACAUCUAUUAUAAAAAUGAUCAUGAAAACAUUCAUUAAAUAAAUAAGAAUCUUAGAUUAUAAGUACAAUGUGAAAAACUUUGAAUUAUUUGUUAUACUUUGAAAUAAAAUUUGUAAAUCAACGAUAAAUUGCACAGUAAAAUGCUCUGCAUGAAUGAAUUCUGAUGAAUACACACUUGCAAUUUGAGCAAUUCAUAAUAAAGAACUGUUGGCUUUUAUUUGAUAGCGAAAGUGCAACUUUUAUGUAAAUUAUUUGACCCUAAGAGAUUCAAAACAGUAAAAAUUUUAUUUUGUAAUUUAAAAUUUUAUAAAAAUUUGGUAAAUGACAUAUGAAAUUUAUUGUUCUCUUACCGAGGAUUGUUGUUGUGUAUCAAUGAUGAAUAUGAUCUUAUAUUGAAGAAAAAUGAAUUGAAGAGAUCAUAUUGCAGUUGUAGUCUUUCUUUUGUAGUUGAUCAACAAUUGUUCAUUUUCUCUGGUCUUAGAAGUAAAAAAUAUAAAGAAAGCAUUAAAUUUUUUUUAUAGAUUUAUGUUGUGUGUGAGUGAGUUUUUUUUUUUUUUCCAAAAAAUAUACCAUGCUCUGAGCAUAGCAACUCGUGGGUACGGAGGAUUGAUCUGAAUCAUUGUGCCGAUCAGUUUUAAUUUUAUAGUUUAGUGUUUGUUAAGGAUACUAAAUAUUUAUAUAUGUGUUUACCUGAUCUUGAUUUUGAAAUCUUUCUCACAAAAAUGAUCUAAAAUUGAUAAAGUAUUUUUCAAUUUUACUUCCAUCAUGAUCAAUAAAGAUUGCCUAGAGAGUGAGUGAUAGAUUUUUUCCUACAUAAAAUGAGGAAAAAAUAUUUAGUGUUGUUAUUAUAUGCAAAAUGAUUACAAAUGAGAGUUCUGACAGUUGGUGUUAGAUUGGAGCUAUCAGUCAUCGUUGCUCUUAAUUGCCAAUCAAAAAAGGGUUAGGACAGAUUCUAUAGUUUCAACAUAAAGGUGUUUUCAAUAAUCAAGUGUGAUUAGAAGGAUACAUUAUCAAAUAUGAAUUCAGCUUGUAGAUAAUAAUUUAUAAAUUUUUAUGCAAUUAUAAAACCAUUAAUGAGGUAGAGAAUAGAAUCGAAAGGUAUGAUAACGAAAAGAUUGAGCAAUGAGUACAACUACUUGAGCCUGAAAUUUCAAAAAUGAUAAAAUUGUCCUUUUUGGCAUUAUGAUCCUCAUAAAAAACACAGGUGACAAUCCAAAUUCAAGUCAGCCACUCUACAAAAAUCAAAGUUUUUCUUCUUUCACUGUACUUUGCUUAUGGUUAAUAAUAUAAAUCCCGUCUUCUUCUAUUUCACUUUAUAUGUAUCACAAAAAAUAAAUAAAUUCAAACAAGUAGCAAUUUUCUCAUUUCAUCAAUCAAAAAAGAAAUCAAUCUCACAUUCACUUGUGCGACUACAUACACUAUGUAUGUUAUUAUUAUUGUUAUAAUGUGUAAUCUGCCCAGAAAGCUUUUGAUAUUGAAUUUUAGUAUCUAGUUAGGAUUCAAUUUUUGAUUUUCACUUUUUGUACCUUUUAGUUUUAAGUAAUAGUACAUUGGAAUUCAUGCUUACAACCACUUUCGUGUGGAAAAGUAAAUUUAUCUUAGUGAAAAGAAAAAGAUUUUGCAGAUCAUUAAAUGUUUAAAUAUAUACAAAUAUAAUCUCAUGAAUACUACAACAAAUCAUUAUCAAAAUUCUUUCUCAAAUAAUUAAUUAAUAGUAGUAUUAGCACAAAUCUAUGCCAGUUCGACAAUAUUUUUGUUUGAAUAUAGAAGUAAAUUACCAUCAUAAAAAUUUAAAUUCGCAGGCUUUUAAAUCUCAAAAUUCAGGUCAAGUCAGAAACCACAACCCCAUAUCCCUAUUCCAUAAAUUUCAUCUAGAACAAACUUUUUCAAGUAAAAAGUUAACUUUUUUCCUUCCUUAAAUUAAGUCAAUCAGAAAUAACAAUCCCACCACAUCUAAAGCCAAUAACACUACUUUUAAUACACUAAGAAAGUAAGACGACUUCACGAGAAGAGUAAGUAAAAUAAAAAUAGUAAAAUUUUGUAUUUUCUAAUUUUCCAAUAUAAGAAAGUCCUGAAUUUUAGAUCAUUUAUAGCGUAUGUUGGCGAAUCAACAUCCAACACGAUAACGAACAUAUUUUGUAAAUAAAACACAUAAAUAAAUAGAUAAACAUAUAAGUGAAGACACUUUAGAAUAAUAACUAUAAAAAAUAUAAGGAGUUAAAUAUAGGUAUAUCAAAUUCAUAGAUUUUAGAUAGACGAUCAAGAUUGUUAAAUGAUGUGAGAGCAAGUUGGGUUGGAGGUGGCAGAAAGAUUUCAAGAUAAUUUACUUCUUCUAUAGGUUCAAUAAUGAUACCUCCAUCUAUUAUCCAAGUAAAGUCAUUAAUUGAUUUUUCGUAUGUGUCAUUUGGUUUCUUAACAGUUACGAUAACACCAAGUACCUGUAAAAGGGGUGGAGCAGAUCUGCAAAAUGGUUUGUAUCACCGCCGAAGCUAAUUGUAAUACCCCAUAUAUUUUUAAGUUAGAAAAUGAACCGUUAUUCCUAUACAUGAAACCUCCUAUUCUGUGAUUCAUAUUGAGGUACAUGAAUUAGGAUGAUUAUCCUAGUGAUAAUAGAUAUUAUGAUGUGUUAAGCAUGCUCAUAAGAGUCACUUAGAGUAAGCCAAGCUAAGAACUUUUGAAUCCACCAAGUUUUCGUGUGUGAUUUCACAUAGGUCAUCUUUGAACAAGAAUAACUUGGUUUAUAGGUGGUAUUUUGGCAUAUUUAUACCCUCCAAAUUGUAUAUAAUUGAAUAAGCUUUCCGUCGAUACCAAAUUCGUCUAAAACGGACAUUUGGUGAAGAAGUUAUGGCAAUUUAAAGUUUCCGCAGCGUCAUUUCAGUGAGUAGCACAUCGCGCCGUAAGCCAAAAUGACGUUUGUCAAUUUUCAGUGUAUCUCCGUAAUUCCACCGCAUCGCAGUGAGUUUUCAGGUCACAAACGGGGGGCAGCGCGAUAUCUCUGCGUCGCGUCGAGGGUCCAAAUCGGGUAAUUUUUACAGAAAUUAAAUGACACUUCUAGAGGCGUAUUUGGGUCAUCUUUCCACCCCUAUAUAUUCCAUAAAUACGGAAUUAAGCCCUUAUUUCACUAAAACAUACUCUUUCUCUCAAAAUCCUCUCAAGAACACAUUAGCAUUUUCAAUUGGGGAUUCAAGUUCAAGCAAAUUUCUCCAUUAAUCAUCAGGAAUCUUCCAUCUAAGGUAUGCGUAGUAUUCAUCUAUGGAUCCAUUUCGUUCAUAGAGCUCAAGAACCAUAUUUUAAAUAUUAUAUUGUGAUUGUCUUUUUGUGAUAUGACCAUGUACACAUUGAUGUUUGUUGUUUAAGUUUCAAGAUGAUAUCUAAAGUUGUGUUCAUGAAGUAUAUGUGUUCGUUAGUUGAAAUCCAUGAACUUUAUGUGGUUUAAAAUGGAAAAAUUCAUGAAAACACAACUAAGCUAAAAGAAUGCAUGCAAAAUGUUUGAUAAAAUGCUUAAGGUGAUAAGAUUCGUGUCCCAUGAUUUAAUAGUGCUUAAAUGACAAGUCUAUACUCUAUGCUUUAUGAUUUCACAUGAAUUCCACGUGAUUGAUAUGCGUCGUUGUUGUGAUAUGGAUUGAGCGUGAUAUUGAAGCUAUGCAAGUGUACACAUGUUGUAUGAAUUUCCCUUCCAUACGUAAGAUGUUGAGAACUAUGCUUAGCGUGAAAUCCCCUACUUAUGAUAUGGAGAAUUGUGGACUCCAUUUUUAUGAUCAAGUCAAUUAUGUGUGUCAGUUUCCUUCCAUCGAGUCCUGGGGGUACUAGUACCCAAAAAAUAUAGUUGUGUGCCUAGAGUCAUGUCACGUUAUCAUGAUAAUCUCAUUCAAGCCACGAUCUAUAGAACUCAGUCAGUUAUGUGACUCAGGAAAUCUCAGAAAUCUCUUGAUCUUAAUAAAUUCUCAGAUAGUAGUACUAUUCCAUCAGUCAACUGAAGUCAGUUACUCAGUCCAUGUAUAACUAGUUAAAUCAUGUUCAGUCUCUUUAGAUUGGAGUAGAAGUUAGCACCGAGUGAACCCAAGGAUGGGAACUCACCUGCAAGUUUAGGGUGUGAUUCUUAGUAGUCAUCCUUUUGUUCCAGAACUACGUAGCCAGUGUAGGUUGAGACAUCUUAACCUGCCAGAUUAGGGUUGAUGAGGUGACUUAACCUGUCAGUUUAGGGUUUCCACCGUUCUCAUUCGAGUACCUUCCAGCAAAGUGUCACUCACAGUUGUCCUUACCAGCGGCGCAGUAUUGACACCCGUCCAGUCGGGGCAGAGAUUGGACCCCAACCUAGCUAUAUGCGUUAUUGGGGCAUAUCGGUUAAGCAACUACCUCCCAUAGUUUCAAUCCCAGUCUCAGUAAAAGAACUCAGGUAGUUCCAUCAGAUUUAGGACUGUCAGACACAGUCAUCCAUGUUAUAAAAAUUUCAGUAUCAGUCUUGUUAGAUAACAGUAAACCAUGUAUUAGCGUACAGAUCCAGAUAUCAUGUAUUCAUAAUUUUAGUUACUAUGUAUGCAUGUUUGUACUCUUACGUUCAUAUCAGUCAGUCAGUUAGCAUUGUUCAUGCAUGUAAACCCUUUUGCAUUUAGCCUACCUCACUCAUCAGUUAGCAUUGUUCAUGCAUGUAAACCCUUUUGCAUUUAGCCCACCUCACUCGUAUAUUCAGUACUCCCAUUCGUACUAAUGCAUUUAUGAUAUGGUGCUUUCUUUCAUGUUACACUAUAGGUUCAGAGACACGAGUUCCAGAUCAGCAGUAGCAUUCCAGUUGCAGAGUUGCAGUGAGUCCUCAUCCAUUUGAGGAUGAUAUUAUUUUAUUUCAUUCAUUAUUUCAGUUCAGUUUUGCUAGACGGAGUUAGUUGGAGACAUGUUCCUUCAACUCCUUAUUUCAGACAACAUUUAGAGGCUUUCAGAUUUAGUUCAGAUUUUAGAAUCAGCUUUCAGUUGUUUUAGGUAUUUGUUACCCUAUAUGGAUGUUAUUAUUUAUCAGAUAUUCUAUUCAGUUGAACCUUAUGGCCUAUUGUUCAUGUUUUCCACAUUCUACAAGUAUAUUAUGCAGUGUACAGGUACAAAUAUCAGUUAUAGGUUAGCUUGUGGUCCUCGGGGUCAUAAGCACCGUGUAGCAUUCCGAUUCAGCAAAUCGGGGCGUUACACUAAUGCAUUGAACUUGAGUUUCCUGUGAAAAGUAUAAAUCAAUAAAUUAUUUUAAAAUGACAAUAUCUUGCAGAAAUAUGAGACACAAGAUUAAAUUACACAUUUCUUGACAAUAAAAUUGCACCUAAUAAAUAAAUCAAAACUAAAAGCAAUUGUACCUCUUCAUCUUGGAGGAGCAACAACUGAUAUUUUUUUUUUUCUAUUUUGGAUCUCUCUUGGACAUCUUUUGUCCAAUCUCAUGACACACGAAACACUCUCUAUAAGUCACAUCACGCUGAGGAGGCUCUGAAAAUAAGAAUAACCUCCCUGCCUUAAAGAACCAAAACUCAAGCACCUACCAACAAAAUCUAAACCAUAACUAUGUGGAGCCAAGUUACCUUAGAAAAAUCCUUUUCAAAAUGAUUUUUGACUCUUUCAAAAUUAGUUUCCGAACAGAUAUUCGGUAAAGGAAUUCUGUUGACCGAGGGGAAGGUGUUAGGAUCCCCUCAGACCCAUGGUUCAACCACAGUCGCUCCAUAGAGUUUAUCAGCUAACAUGACACUAUAGAAUGCAUAAACCAAACAAAACACACAAACCAAGCAAAGAAAUCAAACAAAAUUCAAAACUAAAAUAAUGUCCAGUCUAAAUUAUACAGUCCCUAAAAAUGUGGAAAUAUAAAUCUUAUUCUAAACUAAUCCUAGACUAUGCUCUACCUGAUGCCUCAGGCCUUCAUCACGAACGUCCUCUGUGUACAAGAUACUUUGGGGUAUUCCCCGAUGAAUAAGUACAAAUAGCCUCGGGGCAUUACUCGGCUAAAUGAAUACAUAUUCCAAAUGCGAGAAAGACAAACCAUUCCACAAAUAUUUGAGAUUAUCCAACAAUUCACAAUUCCUACAUUUGCCUACCCGACCUAUUGUUUGCCUACCUAUUUCACCCCAUCAUAAUAUUAUUGCAUUUAACAAACAUCAAUACUUACUCUAAAUUAAAUAAUCAUCAAUGCAUCAGAAUAACCAAUAUUCACCUUUAUUAAUUUUUUGAUUCCUGCCCCACUUUUAUUCUCAAAUUACUGAUUUCAAAUCUCAAAUGAGAUAUUAUUCAUCACACCAUACAUAAUCAAUGGAACCAACAAUGAAUCAACACCAAGCAAUUAUUCACCACUAACAAAGAUCAAACAACACACAAACAUUCAAUUCAUAACAUCGAGUAUUAUAAACAAAAAAUAAAGAGUAAAGAUUAGAAAUAGACCUCAAUUUAGAGCUUUUAAAAUUGAUGUAUUAUUAUAAUUAAAUCCGAUAGAAUUCAUGUCUGAAACUUUGAGUCAAACCUAAAUCAUCAACUAACAGAACCCUAUUCUUUAGGCGGACUCCUGACAUGCAAUUUCUUCAACUUUUUGCUUGGCUUUCAAUUUCUUCACCCUGUUCUCUAGGUGGGCUCUUGACUUGCAAUUUUUUCAUUCUGUUGACUUUUAAUUUCUUCACUCUGUUCUUCAAGCGAUCUUCCAACUUUCAAUUUCAUCACCCUGAUCUUCAAGACUUGCAAUUUCCUCACUCUAUUUUCCGUGCAAGCUCCCGACUUUAAUUUUCAUCACCCUGUUCUUCAGGCGGGCUUUGGACUUGUGAUUUCCUCACUCUGUUCUCCGAGCGAGCUCUCGAUUUUCAAUUUCAUCACCCUGUUCUUCAGGCGGCUCCUAACUUGUAAUUUCAUCACUCUGUUCUCUGGGCGAGCUCCCGACUUUCAAUUUUAUUACCUCAUUCUUUAGGUGGGCUCGUGACUUGCAAUUUUCUCACUCCAUUCUCCACAAGAGCUCCCAACUUUUAAUUUCAUUGCUUAAUUCUUUAGGCGGGCUCCUAACUUGCAAUUUCCUCACUCUGUUCUUUAGGCGAGCUCUUGACUUUCAAUUUCAUCACCCUAUUCUUUAGGUGGGCUCCUAACUUGGAAUUUUUCUCACUCUGUUCUCUGGGCGAUCUCCCAAUUUUUAAUUUCAUCACCCUAUUCUUCAGGCGGUCUCCUGACUUGUGAUUUUGUCACUCUGUUCUCCGAGCGAGCUCUAGACUUUUAAUUUCAUCACCCUAUUCUUCAGGCGGGCUCCUGACUUUCAAUUCAUUACCCUAUUUUUCAGGUGGGCUCCUGACUUUCCAUUUCAUCACCUUGCUCUUCAGGCGGGCUUCUGACUUGUAAUUUCAUCACCUUAUUCUUCAGACGGGCUCCUAACUUUCAAUUUUAUCACUCUUUUCUUCAGUUGAUCUCCUGAAUUUUAAUUUUAUCACCCUGUUCUUCAGGAGGGCUCCUGACUUGCAAUUUCAUCACCCUAUUCUUUAGGCGGGCUUCUGACUUGUAAUUUCCUCACUCUAUUCUCUGGGAGAGCUCCCAACUUUCAAUUUCAUUACCCUAUUCUUCGGGAAGGCUCCCGAGUUACAAUUUCAUCACUCUAUUCUCUGGGUGAGCUCUCGACUUUCAAUUUCAUCACCCUAUUCUUUGGGCAGGCUCCCGACUUGCAAUUUCAUCACUUUAUUCUUUGAGCGGGCUCUCGAGUUGUAGUUUCAUCACCCUAUUCUUUGGGCGAGCUCUCGACUUUCAAUUCCAAUUCUCUGUUCUCUAGGAGGGCUUCCUAACUUUCAAUUUCAUUACCCCGUUCUUCAGGCAGGCUCCUGACUUGCCAUUUUAUCAACUUGUUCUUCAGGCAGGCUCCUGACUUGCAAUUUCAUCACCCUGUUCUUCAGGCAGGCUCCUAACUUACAAUUUCAUCACCCUGUUCUUCAGGUAGGCUUCUUACUUGCCAUUUCAUCACCCUGUUCUUUAGGCGGGCUCUUGACUUGCAAUUUCAUCACCCUAUUUUUUAGGCGGGCUCCUAACUUUUAAUUUUAUCACCCUGUUCUUCAGGUGGGCUCCUGACUUUUUAUUUUUAUCACCCUGUUCUCCAGGUGCGCUCUUGUUCCUUAAAAUAAAGUCUUAUUUUAGAAGGAGGGUCCUAAAGUGAAGUUCCUAAUAGCAGUAAUUAAAUUUUCUUUUUUCCCCAGUUUAUCAUCAAAAGCUUUUGCGAGUGUCAAGCCCAAUCACAACUACUUGCAACAAUGCAUAACAUAAAGAUGAAUCAAUGAUUCUGAUUAACAAAUGCAUCUUUUGAGGGUAAAAUUGAAUGACUGAAACCAACAAGUCCCUCUCUUAAGAGUAAAAGUGAAAGAUUCUUACUAAAAGUGCAUCUUUUUGGAUUAAAGGCUCGAAUUAGGAAGUAAACUUCCUAGCAUGAGACAUGAAAGACCCAAAUUAGAGAAUGUGUCUCUUACAGGUAUGGGAUGAUAAGUUUUACCACAAUUGUGAUUACCAAACCUAUACAACAACACUGCUCUUGCAUUUGCAUAAAUGGGGAAUUGCAUCUCUAGAUAUUCGCACUUUGAAGACUUUGAUUUGAAGGUAGCAACUCUUCCUGUAUCAUACAAAGAAAACUUAUGAGUUUAAAACAAGCUGGUUUGCUUGCAGAUUUGGAUUUUGAGGCGAUUUCUCUUGCACUGGUCCCAUUAAAAUCUUGCUUCUAGUCAUUAACAUUUGUCAUUUCCUUGUUACAUCACUGACCCAAACUUAGAUUAUUAACAGUGACUCUGAAAUAAAUAUAGUAUUUUUUCUUUUCCAUGCUCCUCAGAUAAACCUUUUGAACCUUGGUAUUUCCAUAAGUUCCUAGACUUGUCUGUUGACAAUGCUUUCUGCAUGCCUUAUUUUAACUCACAAUCAUAUCUCUUUUCAUAUGUUGGCCUUUUGUCUUGCUUUGUGCAAUUGAAAAAGUUAGUAGCUAGUUUUGAAAUCUUUUCUCACUUGUUUUGACAUAGACAAGACUUAGUGACAUGAGAAAAAUGACAAUGAUUUUUUUAUUUGGAUAAAUGACUCAAGAAAACAAAAAAAAAAUGAUAAAAAAUAAAGAAAAGACAAUGAAUGUCCCAAUUAAAAAAGAGAAUAGAAGAAUUUAUCUGAAAGUGACAGUUAACUCUAAUGAUUACGACAUGCAUUUUGGAUUAAGAUGCCUGAAAUUUUCAUCCAAACUUUCCACCAAUUGUUGUUGAGUUAAUGACCUUGAAACUGAGUUAUUUUAUUGGACCAAUUGCAUUUGGAGACUUCAUUCAGCUAGUGGCGUCUUGAAGGGUUUUUGCCAACAAGCCCCUCUCAUUUUGUUUCUCUCAGCUCAACAUUUUCCUAUGGUGUCCAUGAGGGUUUUCAGUAAUGAGACUGUCAUUUUUAUUUCUCUCAGCUCACCAUCGCCUUAUGGUGCCCAUGGGGGUUUUUACUAAUAAGGCUCUCUCAUUUUAUUUCUCUCAACUUACCAUAUUCUUACGGUGCCCAAAAGGGUUUUCACCAAUAAGGCUCUGUCAUUUUUAUUUCUCUCAUGAUUCCUUAUGCUGAGGAAGACGAGUAGUUCCCAAAAUGCGUCAUCAUAUCCAUUGCAUUCUUAGCCUUAACAUUCUCAAAGGUAGAUCUGAAGGUCUUUCUUUGGUUGUAACUUGGAUUUUGGGUAAGGUUAGAAAGAAAAGAUGGCAUGAGGCCCAAACGACACUUGAAGUAGGAUAGGACUUACAACUUUUGGAAUCGACUCAAACAACGAGGAUUAACUCAUGCCCCAGUUUCUUUUAACCAAGCAAUUCUAAAUUAUUUAUUUGGUUGGACCGAGCCCAGAGUAGGGUAACCUAUGUAUCUCACCCUUUAGAAGGAGAAUCAGGUCACAUAUAGUUCUGACAACUUGUACUUUUGCUUGGCUCUAAUUUAUUUUCUUUUUUUUCAUUGACUCUUUUAUCUUGGAGAAUUUUUCUGACUCUAUUUUUCUUGACAUUCUUCUCUUUUCUUUCUUUGACACAUUUUUCUAUCUUUUUUCUUUUUUUUUGAUUCUAUUCUUUACUCGACACUUUUAUUUUGAGCUUUGUUGACUCUAUCUUGAUUCCAAAUGAGGGAUAGGAAAUAACACUAAAGCUCAAAUAGGGUAAACAAAGGAUGACGCAAUGUUUGGAUAGUGGAAUGAAAUGCCUUCGUUAUAUCAAUCCUUGAAAAUGCUAGUACAUAUCAUACAAUAUGAAGUGAAAGAUGAAGAUCAUUUGUGACACUUUAAAAACACUAACUUUAACUGAGCAUGCGUGCCACUUCUCUUUCUACACUUGCCAAACAUACAAUUCCACCUUUGUUUUCCAACACUCACAUCAAAUGACUCAUGCUUUCGUAGAGAUGAUAAUCUUUUUAUUUCUCUUGAUAUAAGGAUCGCGCGUCCACUAUUUGACCUAAUUGAGAUAUGAUUAUUAGGUUAUGGCCAAGUUAUUCUUGUGAUUCUCAAAAUAAUUGCCUUAAUUUUGAAAGAAGGCUUCAACGUGGUCAUCAAAUGUCUCAACACUUUACCAAUUUCUCAGAUGCCCCCUUUUCUAACUUUAACCCUCUAAUUCAAAGUUUAUGCUUAAACUGGAUUUUAAGAUCUAGCUGAAAAUUCUGCAAGCAUGUCAUAUCACUAUAACCAACAUAAAAUAUACUAUGUAAAGAAAACAAACAAACACAUAUUUAAAACACAAAAGAAAAAAGGACACUCCAUUUAGUUAAAAUAAAAGAUAGAAGGGUUUGAACAUAAACGACAAAGGGACAAAACAAGAUAAAUACCAAACUACAACCCUUAAAUAAUUUAGAUAACAAAAAAGAAAAUAAAACAAACUACCAGACCUCUUCCUAUUAGGGAGUGGGGUGACUUCUCAAUUGCUCCGCCUGACAUCUUAGCCACUGGUUUGCGAAUCAGCAUGACUAGAGCUUCCACCACUGUCAGACACAUUCCAUUCAAUAAAUAAGUUCUGGAUCCCCAUGCUUACCUCAUUGCUUCCCAGAUAUUAUGCAGUACCACGUGCUGGAGAAGAACUCUGUGGGACGGUUGAGGUGCCAAUGCUUUACACCACAAUCAUUUUUCCUUGAAUCAUUCUCUCUAUUUAUUUUUUCAAAGUAUGAAAAUCUUCAAUACUGUGACCCUAAUCAUCAGAAUAAUAUGUACAGCAUAUAUUAGGAUUAAUAUUUCUUGAAUGCAGGUCAGGAAUAUACCCAAAGAGAGGAGUAAUUAUGCUCCAUUGUAAUGAUCUCUGGAACAGACUAGCAUAUCAUUCUCCAAUUGGAAUAAAACUAUCCCUAGGCUUCUGCCUCUUCUCAUUGUUUGACUUGGAUCAAACAUCAGACCUAGAAGGGCUUUGAUAUAUUUGUGUAGUUGGAAGGUGACUCUGAGGCAUUGGUGCACACCAUUGUGAGUAAGAGGAGAGUUGAACAUAUGGUUGGGUGCAGUAUACUAGAUAUAAAGGUGGGGAGAUGGAGUAUAAUGGAUUUUGGGAGUGAUUAUAUGGAUCUUGGAAAUAAACUUGGGCCUCAUACUGAGGAUAACAACGAUGUGGUCUUCUUAGGUGUGCCCUUCGUCAAACUACAAUAGCAGCUGCAUCUUUCUCAUUCUUCUUCCCUCCAGUUUCCCUUUAUUGAUUGCAAUAUUGGGCCAAAUGUUUCACGAAUUCCUCAUGUCCAUAUUUCUCCUUAAAUUUUGGCAUCUCAAGGAUUGGAGAAAGGUUAACACUUUAAGACAUGCCCUAGUUUUUGUAUGAAACAUCUUCUUUACCCGCAGGUCCUAAGAAAAUAUUCAUAGUACUUUUCGCACUCUUCCUCUUUGCAAUCAUUUCUAUAACUCUUCUGGCAUGCUAGAUUUCUUGUUAAGAAAUUUUGGUAGCCCAAUUAACAUUGAUGUGGGCUUUGAAGUAUAGCAAUGAUCAUUAAGAGUAUUGAACAUGGGUCCACUAGCAGAUUAGGGCGGCACAACUAUUGGAUUAAUAGCCAAAGUAGAAGCCUCAGUAGAUGGUUGAGCAAUAAAAUCACAGAUAGUGCGUGGUGUUGUACAUGUAGUAGGCUUAUACUGAGGAGCUAGAGAAGUAGUAGUAAGAGUAUUGGGAUGCAGAUGACAUGGAAUAAACUUUGAGGCAUGUUGCGGUGCAUCAACAACAAUAGGAAACUGACUUUGCAAUUCUAAUGGAAAACUCAAUAUAUUUACAAGGUCAAUAGUGGGUAAUGGAGGAGGAGGCAGCCCACUGUCCCAAGCUCAAUACAUCUCCAUUAUUUGUUGUCUUAGUCUCAUAUUCCCUUCCUUUAAACUCUCAUUUUCCUGACUCUUUGUUUGAUCAAUGAGGUAACUCUCUAUAUUCUUUUUGAACACAGUUAAACCUUCUUUAGAUUUGGUGUGAUGUGGAAGACCCCCCAAAAUGCCACAAACUAACCACCUUAAACUAACUGAACAAGAGAUAAAAAAACGUGUUAGAGUUCAACACUUUCUCAAAAUCUUUUUUUAUUGUUCUUGAAAAGAUCACCGAACCCAAAAAGGGCGCCUACAUAUCUCACUCUCUCGGGAGGAGAAUCAGAUGUGCAUAGUUCGUGAAGUUUGGCCACAAAAGGGCUAAUGAAGCUCUCUUUCUUUUUCUUGAAACUUUUGAAGAAAAGAAAGUAAUAAAGUGUCAAAAUAAUUGACGAAUUUUUUUUUUCAUUUUUUAGGUUUAAAUCCCUAUACAAAAUGAAAUCUAUAAUUACCAGAAAAAUCUUUUGGAUUUUUGAUUUUUAAUUUCAUACGACAAAGUAAGUUGAAGCUAUUAAAGAAAAUUUUUUUUUUGUGGUUUUCUUUUAGAGAUGUAUAUGACAUUACUCUAAAUUAAGAGUGAAGAAAAUCUUUUUGAAUUUUCCAGAUUCCUAUACAAAAUGAAACCUAUGAUUACCAAAGAAAAAUCAUUUUAGGUUUUCAAUUUUUAAUUUCAUACGAAAAUGAAACUUGAACCUAUUAAAGGAAAAUUAUUUGUAGUUUUUUUAAAAGAUUUAUAUGAAACACCUACUCUAAAUGAAGAGAGAAUAAAAUAUUUUUGAAUAUUUUAAAUAAGAUCACCGAACCCUAGAAGGGCUGCCUACGUAUCUCACUCCCGAAAGAGGAGAAUCAGGUGUGUAUAGUUCGUCCAGAUUGGACAAUUUAGAAUUAAAUAACGAACUGAACCUUGACUUGAGAGACACGACCAAAAACAGACGAUGAAAAAUGUUAAUAAAAUCUUUUUGAGUUUUCAGUUUGACACUUCACAUAAAAAUGACACCAACAGCUAUGAAAGAAAAAUCUCUUUUGGUAUUUUCCUAUAUGAAAUGUACAAAACUUCUACCAUCUUUUUUUGAAUUUUUCUUUUAUAAAAAGAUGCUAUUGAGAAAAAUCAUUUUGGAGUUUCGAAUUUGUGAAUCCUUACUAAAGAAACAAAAAAAAUCCUUUUGAUGUUUUUGAUUUUUUUAAAAAAUGAGUGCAAAACAUAAACAAUCUUUUUUAAUUUGUGUAUUGUGGAAAACAAAAGCCAUAAAGAACUCUAAAAAAUAUGAAACUCUAUUUUUAUUCACCUCUUCUUUUCUUUUCUUUUCAUUUUUUCAAUAUUUUCUUGCCUACGCACUUUACUUCUAACACAUUCUUUCCCCAAAUCAAUUCGUCAAGUAGCCCCGUCACCCUAAAAAAUAGAGCAUUUAGAACGUAGGGAUGAUUUUAAUGUGAGUCUCCUAUAAAGGACCAAGUGAGUCCCGCUAGAUCUCAAUAUGAUGCAGAUAAGCAUGACCUAAAGGCUGACCUAUGAUAGGGUCCACUAGUAAGGCUGUUCGGGGGAGCGUAUGUUCGAUAGUGGCUGUGAUAGCUUUCCACCUAAUCCAUACGUCCGAUGGCUCCCCUCCUAAAAUAAGAGUGACUCAACUAGAUUUCAUGUACACGACGUGUACUUCGGGACUUGUGGCAAAAGAAAUGACUCGGGUAAUGCAAAUGAUGCCAGAUAUAAAGCGGUAACACAUAAAGAAAGAUUGUAAACAAAGAAAAUGUAGGUAAUCAACAAUGAUAAGACAAUAACACAAAAAAAUGUGUAUACACCUAUAGUGUCAAAUUAAGCCUAUAUAACUCAAAAAGAAGCUUGAAUUAUGAAAAUAUCCCCAGCAGAGUCAUCAGAAUUAUCACACCCCCUUUUUUUACCAAAAAGAUUCGAUUUUAAGUUUCAAAAGGAUUUUUAUUAUCAAGUGAUAAAAAAUAAAUAUUUGUUUCGAAAAAGGACUCAUUUCACUAUUAAAUUCAAAGUUGAGACUUGGCAUAGUCGGGUGUGCCAAGUCACCUUAGAAAAAUCCUCUUCAAAAUGAUUUUUGACUCUUUCAAAACUAGUUUGUGAAUAGAGAUUCCGACUAAGGAAUUCUGUUGACCAAUAGGAAGGUGUUAGGCACCCCUCGAACCUGUGGUUCAACCAGGGUCACUCUGUAGAGUAUAUCGGCUAACAUGACACUAUAGAAUGCAUAAACCAAACAAAACACACAAACCAAGUAAACAAACAAAUCAAACAAAAUUUAAAACCAAAAUAAUGUCCGGUCCAAAUUAUACAAUCACCAAAAAAAUGUGGAAAUGUAAAUCCUAUUCUAAACUAAUCCUAGACUAUGCUCUACCCGAUGCCUCGAGCCUUCAUCACGAAUGUCCUCCACGUACAAUAUACAUCGGGGCAUUCUCCGAUGAAUAAGUACAAAUGGCCACGGGGCAUUCCCCGGCUAAAUGAAUACAUAUUCGAAAUGGAAAAAAGACAAACCAUUCCACAAACAUUUCAAAUUAUCAAAAAAUUCACAAUUCCUAAAUUUUCCUACCCGACCUACUAUUUGCCUACCAAUUUCAAACCAUCAUGAUAUUAUUGUGUUUAACAAACAUCAAUCUUACUCUGAAUUAAACAAUCAUCAACGCAUCAGAAUAACCGAUAUUCACCUUUAUUAAUUUUUCAAUUCUCGCCCCACUUUUAUUCUCAAAUUACCAAUUUCAAAUUUCAAAUGAGAUAUUAUUUCAUCAUACCAUACAUAAUCAACAAAAAUAACAAUAAAUCAACACCAAGCAACUAUUCACCACUAACAAGGGUCAAACAACACACAAAUGAUCAAUUCAUAACAUCGAGUAUUAUAAAUAAGGAAACAAAGAGUAAAGUUUAGAAAUGGACCUUAAUUUGGAGCUUUCAAAAUUGAUGUAUUAUUUGAAUUAAAUCUGAUAGAAUCCACGUACGAAACCUCGAGUUGAACCUAAAUCACGAACUAUCUGAACUGGAUAUAUCGUUUGCUCUUGUCACUUAAUACCGAACCAAAAUCUGAAAAAAAAAGACCCACAUUGAUGUCAUAUGUUAUGAGUCUGUUUAAUUUUUGUUUGAUUUAUUUCACUGGAAAUGAAGGUGGAUUUGGUCAGAGUGGACGAGAUUUUCUAUUUGGGAUCUGAGUUAUAGCAAUUUCCGAUAAGUUAACAUUGGAAUCGACAAAUAGCAAUCGAGUUUGGCUGGUUCUUAUUGGUUCUGGUCGUUGGUGAUGCCAUCUGCUGAUGGGUCUCACCGAAACAGUAACAAAUACGACCGGCUACGGCAAACUUGGUGGAUCUCUAAUGAGAAAAUGGUCAAACCCAUCUAUUUAUCUUUCUCUCUCUCAAUUUCACUAUCUCUCUCUUCGAUCUCCCUCACUUCUGAUCUCUGUAUAUGUAACAUGAUUGUGUGUGUGCCCAUUUUACCUCUAUGAGAUAUGUGUAGAUAGAAAUUAUGUUUAUGUAUGGUGUAUUCUCUGUAUAUGGGUAUGUGAUGAAUAAAAUAAAAAGUGGCCUUCCUUCUUAGUGAUAUUGUAUGUGUAUAUAGUAAUCAUGAAGUUCUGUGUGUUCCAUGGAAAUAGUGUAUCGCAAAUUAUAGCAUUGUGUAUUGGUGUAUGUAAUUGUGGAGGUUGAAUGAUUAAGAAAAAAUGGAGCUUGGUAUAUUUCAUUGUGUGUGUUUGUACCUCUCCCGUGAGUGAGAAUUAUUUUUUGGUAUAUGGGUCUCUCCAAAAUGUGGUAAAGGGGUAAGGGGUAGGGGUAGUUAGGUGAGGAUAUGUAAAAAUUUGAUUGGGAAGGGUUGUUAGUUUGUUGGAUUUGUUAUUGUGUGGAAAUUAUCACAUAGGUGAAGAUACGUGGUAAUACGGGGGGUAAAAUGGUAAAAAAAAUUAUUUUAGAGGGUCUAAAUUACGUGUCUACAUCAUGCCCCUUUUGGAUAUAAACACAAAGUGUUUUCAGCCAAAUAAGUAGACAACGAGACAGAAUUUUGUCCCGAGUAUUAUUCAUAAGAAAGAAACAAAGGGAUGAAGGGCAAUCGAGUCUUGAUUUUGGGCAUUCUACCUGUAUCAAGUUAUGUGAGAGUCAAGUCACAAGUAUCUCAAAGGGUUGGAAGGACAAGGACUAUACCGAGUUAGAGAGUCGAGUGAGGUCCUAUCAAUGUUUCGGUCCGCGGCUUUGUCAUUAUAUCAAAAAAUUAAAAUUACAAGUUAAAACAUAAAUAAAAUUACAGAAAUCCUAUCUAUGCAGCUUUUUUAGGACUUUUGACUUGAGUUUCAUUACCCUAUUCUUCAGGCGGGCACCUGAUUUGUAAUUUCUUCAACUUUUUGCUUGACUUUCAAUUUCUUCACCCUGUUCUCUAGGUAGGCUCCUGACUUACUAUUUUUUCAAUUUAUUGAUGUUCAACUUCUUCACUUUUUUGCUUGACUUUCAAUCUCUUAAACUUGUUGCUUGACUUUCAAUUUCAUCACCCUACUCUUCGGGCGGGCUCUCGAGUUGCAAUUUCUUCACUCUAUUCUCCGGGCAGUCUCUCGACUUUCAAUUUCAUCACCCUGUUCUUCAGGCGGGCUCCUGACUUGCAAUUUCUUAAAUCUAUUUUCCAGGCGAGCUCCCAACAUUCAAUUUUAUCAUCCUAUUCUUCAAGCAGGCUCCUGACUUACAAUUUCCUCACUUUGUUCUCCGAGUGAGCUCCCGACUUUUAAUUUUACUACCCUGUUCUUUAAGCGGGCUCCUGGCUUGCAAUUUCAUCACUCUGUUCUCUGUGCAAGCUCCCAACUUUUAAUUUUAUCACAAUAUUCUUUAGGCAGGUUCCUGACUUACAAUUUCCUCACUCUUUUCACCAGGCGAGCUCCCGACUUUCAAUUUCAUUACUUUGUUCUUUAGGCGGGCUUCUGACUUUCAAUUUUCUCACUCUGUUCUCCGGGCGAGCCCCCGAAUUUUGAUUUUAUCACCCUAUUCUUCAGGUGGACUACUGUCUUGCAAUUUUAUUACUCUGUUCUCCAGGUGAGCUCCUAACUUUUAAUUUUAUCACCCCGUUCUUCAGGCGGACUCCUGGCUUGAAAUUUCAUCACCUUUUUCUCUGGUAUAUCUCUCGACUUUCAAUUUCAUCACCCUAUUCUCCAGGCAGGCUCCCGAGUUGCAGUUUCUUUACUCUGUUCUCCGGGAAAGCUCCCAACUUUAAAUUUCAUCACCCUGUUCUUCAGGCGAGCUCCUAAAAUCAAAAUCAAAACUUGAACAAAAAUUAUCCCAAAUAAAGAUUAUGAUAAAGAAAGAUUCUAUAUUUAAGAAAAAUAAAGUCUCACUUUCUAGGAGGGUCCUAAAGUGAAGUUCCAAAUAACAUAAAUUACUUUUAAUUUUUGCCCCAGUUUUCAUCAAAGCUUUUGUGGGUGUCAAACCCAAUCACAACUACUUGCAAGAGUGCAUAAUGCAAAGAUGAAUCAAGAUACUGAUCAACAAAUACCCCUUUUGAUGGUAAAAUUAAAUAACUGAGACCAAAUAAAUCCCUUACUUAAGAAUGAAAGUGAAAGGUUCUUGCUAAAAUUGCAUCUUUUAGAAUUAAUGGUUCAAAUUAUGAAGUACACCUCCUAGCCUUGCAUUUGCAGAAACGAGGAAUCGCACCCCAAGAUGUUUGCGCUUUAAAGCCUUUGCUUUGAAGGUAGCAACUGUUCUUAUUUCAUACAAACAAAACUUGUGAGUUUAAAUAAGGUAGUUGGCUUGCGGCUUUGGCCUUGAAGGCGAUUUCUCUUGCAUUCGUCUUGCUGCACCAUUGACCCAAACUCAAAUUAUCAAAAGUGAACCAGAAACAAGUACCAUCUCCAUUUUGCUAUGUCUCUUAGAUAAAUCUCUCGAACCUUGAUUUUUCUUUGAUUUCCCAAACAUGUUUCUGACAAAACUUCCUACUUGUAAUGUUUUGACUUACAAUCAUAUUUCUUUCAUGUGCUAAUCUUUUGUUUUGCUUUGUGCAAUUGAAGAAGUUGGUAGCAAGUUUUGAGAUCUUUUCUCACUUGUAUUGACAUGGACUUGACUCAAAGACAAGAGAAAAAUGACAAUAAUUUUAUUUGGAUAACUGACUCAAGAAAAUAAAAUAAAAAUGAAGAGAAUAAAUAAAAGACCAUGAAUGUGUCCAUUGAAAAAGAGAAAAGAAGAAUUUGUCCGAAAAUGACAGUUAAUUUUAAUGAUUAUGACAUACACUUUGAAUUAAGCUGCCUGAUCUUUCCAACCAAACUUUCUAUCAAUUUUUCUCGAGUUAAUGACCCUAAAAAUGAGUUACUUCCUUGGUACAAUUGUAUUCGGAGACCUCAUUUGGCCAGUGGCACCUUGUAGGGUUUUCUCCUACAAGCCUCUCUCAUUUUUUUUUCUCAACUCAUCAUUGUCUUAUGGUGUCCGUGAGGGUUUUUCACCAAUAAGACUACUUUUCAUUUCUCUCAACUCACAGUCGUCUUACAGUUCCCGUGGGGGUUUCACCGAUAAAACUCUCUUAUUUUUAUCAUUCUGAACUUAUCAUUAUCUUACGGUGCCCGUGAGGGUUUUCACCAAUAAGACUCUCUCAUUUUUAUUUUUCUCCUGAUUCCUUAUGCUGAGGAAAAUGAGUAGUUCCCAAAAUAUGUCAUCAUAUCCAUUGCAUGCUAAUACUUAACAUUUUCAAAUAUUGAUCUGAAGGUCUUUCUUUGGUUGUAACUUGACUUUUGUAUAAGGUUUAGAAAGAAUGGAUGACAUGAAGCCCAAACGACACUUGAAGUAGUGUAAGAAUUACAAUUUCUGGAAUCGACUCAAACAAUGAGGAUUUUAACUAAUGUCCAAUUUCUUUUGGCUGGGUGACUCUAAAUUGUUCAUUUGAUUGGACCGAGUCCAGAGUUAGGAAGCCUACAUAUCUCACCCCUGAGAGAGGAGAAUCAGGUCUCACGUAGUUUCAAAAACUUAUUCUUUUGCUUGAUUUGGAUUUUUUUUCUUUUUUUAUUGACUCUUUUCUCUUUGGGAUUUUUUUCUGACUCUAUUUUUCUUGACACUCUUCUUUUUUCUUUCUUAUUGGACAUAUUUUUUUUCUCUUUUUUUUAUUCUAAUCUUUACUCGAUACCUUUUAUUUUUAACUUUGCUGACUCUAUUUUGAUUCCAAAAGAGGGGUAUAAAAUAAAAUAGAACUAAAGAUCAAAUAGGAUUCACAAAAUAUGACACAAUGUUUGGAUAGCAGAAUGAAAUGCCUCCGGCAUAUCAAUCCUUGAAAAUGCAAGUGCAUAUCACGCAAUGUGAAAGUGAAAGAUGGAGAUCAUUCAUGAUAUUCUUACAGCACUAACUUUAACUGUAUUUGUACAUCACUACUCUUGCACUUUGUUCAACAUACAACUCAACUUUUGUUGUACAUUUCUCAUGCUAAAUGACUCAUGAUUUUGUGGAGCUGAUUUUCCUUCUGUUCCUUUUGACACAGGAUCGCACAUUCAUUAUUUAUCUAAUUGAGAUAUGUCUUUCAAUUGAUGACCAAGAUAUUCUUGUGAUUCUCAAAAUAAUUUCCUUGAUUUUUAAAGAAGGCUUCAAAUUGAUCAUCAAAUGCCUCAACACUCUAUCUAUUUUCUUAGAUACUCUCUUUCUCUAACUUUAUCCCUCUGAUUCAAUGUUUCAUGAUUAAGCUAGAUUUUAAGAUCUGGCUGAAAAUUCUGCAAGCCCGUCAUAUUACUAAAAUCAACAUAAAUUGUAUUGUAUAAAGUAGACAAACAACUUAAAAUAAGACAAAAGUCAAAAGGGACACUAUAUUUUGCUGAAAAGAAAGAUAGAAAGGUUUAAACAUAAAUGACAAAGACAUAAAUCAAGAUGGAUUCCGAAUUACAACCGUAAAAUAAUUCAGAAAACAAAAAGAAAAACAAGACUAGAUACCAAAACCGCUUUCUAGUAAGGGGAGGAGUGUCUUCCCAAUUGCGGAGCUUGACAUUUAGCCACUGAUUUGAACAUCAUGACGAGAGCUUUUAUCACCGUCAAACAUAUUUCCCUCUAUAAAUAAGUUUUUGAUCCUCAUGCUCAACUCAUUACUUCCCACGUAUUGCGCAUCACCAUGUGUUGGUGAAGGAUUCUGUGUAACGCUCGAGAUGUUAACGUUUUGCACUAAAAUCACUUUUUCUUAAAUCAUCUUUUCUAUUUCUCUUUUCAAAGUAUGACAAUCUUCAGUACUGUGACCCUGAACAUCAGAAUGAUAUGCACACCAUACAUUAGGGUCAAAAUUUCUUGAAUAUGGAUCAGGUGUAUACCCAAGGAGAAGAGUAAUCAUGCCCCACUGUCUUAAUCUUUGGAACAAACUAGCAUAGGAUUCCCUUAUAAGAGUGAAAUUAUCCUUCUUCUUCCUCUUCCUCUUCUUUGUAAACUAUGGCCUUGGUUGAAACUUAGAUUUAGAGUUACCUUGGUAAAUAUGCGGAGGCCGAGGACAAUGUUCAGAGAUCUAUGCUUUCCAUUAUGGAUAAGAUGACAGGUGAGUACACAAUUGUGCAUUGUUCAAAGGAUAUUAAGGAAGUGGAAUGGAAUAUCUUGGAUUUUGGUAUGAUAAACCUUGUUGUAGGAGAGUAUGUGGAUAUAAUAUUUAAGUUCAAGAUUGAGGCUGAUGGUAUUGGUGAGUUGGACCUCUCGAGCUCUGCUUUGGCCCUGGCAUGAUGACAGGUAUAUUUUCCUUCUUCUUUCCUUCAGUUUCCCUUAAUUAAUUGCAGUAUCAUCCCAAAUAUUUCACAGAAUCCUCAUGUCCAUCAUGCUCCUUAAAUUUCAAUAUCUCAAAGCUUUGAGGAAGGUUGACACUUGAAGACAUGCCCCAGUCUUUAUAUGAAACAUAUUCUUUACCCGCGAGUCCUAGGGAACUUUUCAUGGAAUUUUCUGCACUCUUCAUUCCAAACAUUUUCUCUUGCUCUUCUGCUAUCUCAGACUUUUUGGUAAGAAAUUUCGGUGGUUCAGUUAAUUUAAAAGUAGGCUCAGGAUCAUAGCAAUUAUCAUCAAGAGUAUUGAACAUGGGUUCACUAGCGGCAUGGAAAAUCAUAACCGUUGGGCGGAUAGCCAAAGUGAAAGCCUCAGUAAAGGGUUGGACAGUAAAAUCACAGUCAGUAUAUGGUUUUAUGAAUGUAGUAGGAUUAUACUGAGGAGCUAGAGAAGGAGUGGUGGAAGUAUUGGGAUGCAGCUGAUGUGGCAUGAAUUUCAAGGCAUGUUGUGGUGCGUCAACAACAAUAUGAAACUGACAUUGCAAUUAUGAUGGAAAACUCAAGAUAUUUUUGGGGUCAGUAUUGGGGAAUGGAGGAAGAGGCAUCCCACUGGCCCAAGCUCGAUACAUUUCCAUCAUUUGUUGUCUUAGUCUCAAAUUCUCUUUCUUUAAACUCUCAUUUCCUUAACUCUUUGUUUGAUCCAUGAGGCCACUCUCUAUAUCCUUGUUGGACACAGCUAAACCUUUCUUAGCUUUGGUGUGAUGUGGAGGACCCACCAUAAUACCACAAACCAACCACCUUAAACUAACUUAACAAGAGAUAACAAAGGUGUUAGAAUGAAACACUUUUUCAAAACUCUUUUUCUCUAUUUUUUUUUUGGAAAAAAUCAUUGAACCCAAAAAGGGCACCUACGUAUCUCACUCUCGAAAGAGGAGAAUCAAGUGUGCGUAGUUCAUGAAGUUUUGGCAUAACAUGUCCGAUCAAAAUCUCUUUCUUUUUCAUUUUCUUGAAACUUUAAGAAGAAAAGAAAAUAAUAAGUUGUCAAAAAAUUGACGAAACUCUUUUUGAAUUUUUUCAAUUUAAAAAUUCCUAUACAAAAUAAAACCUAUGAUUAU